AGCUCGAUUGGUUACGGAGUCGUCAUGAUGAGAGUGCAUAAGGGAAAUCGUAAACGAGUACUGCCUUAUUGUAGUAGACUCACUCAGGGGGCUGAGAGGAAGUAGCACUCGUACGAACUGAAGACGCUGGCAGUGAUUAAGACAUAGACAAUGAGGGAGAAGAGUUGUGUCAUGACGCCAACUUGCCUCCGGAGGUUGACCUGCCUGUGGAGGGGACUGAGCCGCAAUCAAGCCCGUCUGGAAUGUCAAGACAUUCAAAACUGAAUACGUCUAGUGCGAAUGAAAAGAAUUUCCUGCCCUUGGUGCUAAUACUACGUUUUGGACGUCAAGAAAGUUAAACACAAAGGAGCCCGGGGACGUGCUCAUGUCAGGAAAGGCCGUGUAGGAAUAUGAGAGGGUAGAAGAGAAUCAAUAUAGGAAUAUGAGAGGGUAGGAGAGACUCAAACGACAUAUAAGCCGUUGUCAGAGGACAUCAGGGCUCUUUUUUCGUUCGUAACGCGCGUUGGUGUGAUAGUUUAGUCGUUAGUAGAUUUUAGAAGUGUGUUUAAAUCUUUCGAUUGUAUUAUAUUCGGAUUUCAUUUAACGAUUAGUUUAAAUCAAGAUAGUUGAAAGUUAUUCAUUUAGAAUUGUUUUUAUUUUUGUGUAAAUUUAAUAAAUUUGCAGUGGAAUUGUA